CUUGGAAGCUGCUCCAGUUGCAGUAGAGCCAAGCUCCAGCUGUGAACUGCGCCACGAUAAUCACUAGGAGGCAGCUGAAGAAGGUGAUCAGCAUGCACCUGGACGCUUGCAGGGCGCCCAAGCAACCCAGAAACGCUACGAUCGGCGUGAUGAUCGCAAUCGCGAUCAAAAUGUAAUGACCCACGUACCAACCGUGGCCGUCGUGCGGGAAACCGAUCACGAACAGCACUACAGCGAUACAAGUGAUCGCCACUGCCUGAAAACAUUUUUAUCUCGAGCAUUAAACAGUUCAGAAUUUUCAUACAUUACUGUGUCAAUCAGUAGUUUUCUGAUGUCUUUAUUCUACGUGCCAUGGGAUUAUUUAAGGAAAACGUGUAUCAACUCAAGAGUCACAUCAGGAGAAUAUUUCCUUCCUAGUCUGUAAAAACAUUAAACCGGAUAGCAAAAAAGAAUAUUUCCUGAAAUCUUUCUGCGAUGCUUCUGGAGCACACGUUGAAGCGCUAUCGCGAAAAAAGGUCACAGGGGACAGGAACCGGGACAGCGUGCUCGUUCAACAUGGAAACUUCCACAUCUGGUGGGCAGACCAUUGUAAAGGGCGCGUCCUGUCCUGCACAGGCCCGACCGUUUCGCAAGAAUACUUCAUUACUUAUCCAUAUAACGCAUUGUGAGCGGCGCUUAAGCCAUAAACCAGAACACUCGUUCCCCUGCUUUCUCUCUCUAGAUAGGGCGAAAAAGGUCAGGUAUAUUUUUGCGACGGAGCAGGAAGAGGACACGUUCCCGCGCAUACAAUGCGUCGUUGAACAGUAGCGCUCCCGCAAAGAAUUCAACUGCCCCCGAUGCCAACGAAAACUUGCUCAUUAACGCAUUCCGUGCCACUGAGAAUUUCAUAUCUUGCUUAUACAGUGCACUGAUUUUUUCAAUGAUUCAGUUACACUCAAAUUUCCAUUCCCAUUUGGCGACUGAAUUCUCAAAAUUGAUAAAAAUAUUGAAAUGAUUAAUACGUAAAUUAAUUCUCAACUAUAUGGCAAUGUUCUCUAAUUACCAAACCAUUUGACGAGCCAUAUAUUUGAUGCUACACCCUAAUGAGCCAUCAAUGUUCACAUUGAAGAUUGUUAGUAGGAAUGCGCGUCGCCUCGUCCGGAAGAUAGCCGGAGCUUUAUCUAACGAGCACGCCAGGGGCAUUUAUCACUGCAACGGGUCUAAGUGAGUUGCAUUAUCUGGCCGGACGGCUUUCUUAAAGGUCCAUUUUCCUUCAGGCGAAUCCUGAGACAGGCCAUUACUCAACGGUGAAACCGGCAUGUUUACACGACAGAGAGAGAGCGAACAGACCCAUGGAAAGUUCACCGGGUUAAACUCCGUGGAACCGGUAAAAUUCAGAGGGAAUGUGUUCCCAACGGCAAACGAAAUAGUCUCAUCUUGUGUCUAUUCCAAGUAAAUCUGUUUAGACUUUAACCCUUUCAACCAUGGCGUCCUUGUAUAAGGACAUGCUAAAUGCUCGGUGUAUCUAAAUUAGGUAAAUUUUGUUUAUUUAUACUCCUGUGGAGUUAUCUUAGGAGUCCACUUUGACCAUAUGACAAUGUUUACAAACAAAUUUACUGAAUUUAGAUACCAAGCAUUUAUUCAGAACCUGAUAUGAGGACACCAUGACAGAAAGGGUUAAUACGUUCCGUGCCAUGGAAAUCUUGAUUAUAUUUUACUCAUGAACUAUUGAUUUUCUUCAUAAAGUAUUAACUUAUAUUCAAGUUUCUAGUAACUUGUAUAUUUUGUUCCUUUAUGUUCUCUGCUAACGCAUGCCAUCCAUGUCCUUUAACCCUUAGCACUCCGCAUAGUUUUGUGAUAUGUCAGCUCCUACCAAUUUUGAUAGUAGUCCUACUGAAAAUUAACAAUGUUAGACCUUUAAUUCCCUUCUCAGUACAAACUUUGUAUA